rnacentral:lncRNA from 1 species
UUCCUGAGUACGGAAUUUCGAGACUAGGAACCCGAGGAGAUACUCAGGAGACUCAGUGUGGACACGCCAGAAAUUCAGGUGGAAACAGUGACUUGAGGCCGGCGCAUUCCUGUUCGUGACAAAACCACAGGCACAGACGCUGGUGUGCUCUACAUCUUUAGAACACAAACGUGCUGGAUCAGGCUUGGCACAUGACGCAAAGUGGGGGCGAGUCUGGAAUAUGAAUAAAUAAGAGCCUCCAUACUGUCUCUUUUUAAAUUUUUAUUUUUAUUUUAUGUGCAUUGGCGGGUUUGCCUGCAUGUAUGUCUGUGUGAGGAUGUCGUAUCCCAGGAAAUGUAGUGUACCCCAGGAAAUGUAGUUGCAAACAGUUGUAAGCUGCCAUGUGGUUGCUGGGAAUUGAACCCAGGUCCUCUGGAAGAACAGCCAGUGCUCCUAAUCACUGAGCCAUCAUCUCUCCAGCCCGGAGGCUCAAUACUUUCACUCCAGUGGGUGGCUGGUCGAUAACGUUAUUGCAUAAGCGUUUGGAUACAGUGCCCUUUUAGUGGAGUGACAAACGACACUACCUUUCUCUUCCUCCUGGGCAAAGAAGCAG